UACGUAGGGGGCAAGCGUUGUCCGGAAUCAUUGGGCGUAAAGCGCGCGUAGGCGGCCCGGUAAGUCCGUUGUGAAAGUCAAAGGCUCAACCUUUGAAAGCCGAUGGAUACUGCCGGGCUAGAGUCCGGAAGAGGCGAGUGGAAUUCCUGGUGUAGCGGUGGAAUGCGCAGAUAUCAGGAGGAACACCAAUAGCGAAGGCAGCUCGCUGGGACGGUACUGACGCUGAGGCGCGAAAGCGUGGGGAGCGAACAGG
rnacentral:rRNA from 1 species